GUGCCAGCAGCCGCGGUAAUACAGAGGUGCCAAGCGUUAGGCGGAAUCACUGGGCUUAAAGCGCGUGUAGGUGGACGGGUAAGUAUCUUGUGAAAUCCCACGGCUCAACCGUGGAACUGCUGGAUAUACUGCUUGUCUUGAGGCACUUAGGGGCAGCUGGAACAAAUGGUGGAGCGGUGAAAUGCGUAGAUAUCAUUUGGAACGCCAAAGGCGAAAGCAGGCUGCUGGGAGUGAUCUGACACUGAGACGCGAAAGCCAGGGGAGCAAACGGGAUUAGAUACCCCGGUAGUCC
rnacentral:rRNA from 1 species